rnacentral:misc_RNA from 1 species
CAUACUUGAAACUGUAAGGUUGGCGUAUG